GGACCCUUAGCUCAGGGGGAGAGCGCUUCCUUGACACGGAAGAGGUCGGUGGUUCAAAUCCACCAGGGUCCACCA
rnacentral:tRNA from 1 species